UCUCCGUUGGUGAACCAGCGGAGGGAUCAUUACCGAGUAUACAACUCCCAAAUCCAAUGUGAACCAUACCAAAAUGUUGCCUCGGCGGGGUCACGCCCCGGGUGCGUCGCACCCCCGGAACCAGGCGCCCGCCGGAGGGACCAACCAAACUCUGUCUGUAGUCCCCUCGCGGACGUUAUUUUUACAGCUCUGAGCAAAAAUUUAAAAUGAAUCAAAACUUUCAACAACGGAUCUCUUGGUUCUG
rnacentral:misc_RNA from 1 species